rnacentral:rRNA from 1 species
AAUAUUGGACAAUGGGGGAAACCCUGAUCCAACAAUGCCGGGUGUGUGAAGAAGGCCUGCGGGUUGUAAAGCACUUUUAUCGGGGAAGAAUAGGUUGUCGUUAAUAGCGCCAACACUUGCCGUUCCUCGUUGAAUAAGCUCCGGCUAACUCCGUGCCAGCAGCCGGGGUAAUACUGAGGGUGCAAGCUUUUAUCGGAAUUUCUGGGGGUUAAGGGUGGGUAGGCGGAGAUUCAAUUCUGAUGUGAAAGCCCUGGGUUUAACCUGGGAAGGUCAUUGGAAACUGGGUUUCUAGAGUGUGGUAGAGGAAAGUGGAAUUUCCAGUGUAGCGGUGAAAUGCGUAGAUAUUGGGAAGAACACCGAUGGCGAAGGCAGUUUUCUGGCCCAACACUGACGCUGAGGUGCGAAAGCGUGGGGAGCAAACAGGAUUAGAUAUCCCCGGUAGUCCUCGCCGUAAACGAUGUAUACUUGUUGUUGGGGGAAUUUAUUCCCUCAGUGACGGAGCUAACGCG